rnacentral:lncRNA from 1 species
CUUACAUUAUAGGAAAUAAAAGUUUGGCUGUUAUCAUUAUUCUCCAUAAAAGAUUUGGAAAAAGCAUCCCUCAUCCUAGGGAUAAAGAUCCAUAGAGAUAGAUCCAAGAGGCUGCUUGGAUUAUCCCAGUCUAUGUACAUAGAGUACUUAUAAGUAGAGUUUGUUCUAUCAUGAACAUCACGUAUGAGACCGAAUAUGGUAUACUCACUAAGGGUAGUGAGUAGAUACUUGCA